AAAAGAACAGUGCAUUAAAGAGUACUGUGAAAAAGAAGGUGUGUGUCUGCGUCUCAACAAGAUUAAGGUAAACCCCGCAAAAAGACAAAUCUCAAAGCUGUUUUUAAAUUCCUUGUGGGGAAAAUUUGAUGAACACAUUGUGGAGUUUGUGUCCGCAGGGCCUAAAACAUACGGAUACAAACUGUCCAGUGGUAAAACCUGUAUGAAAUUAAAAGGAAUCACACUCAACUCAGGAAAUAGUGAAAAAAUUAAUUUUGAAAGCUUAAAAGAACUCGUCUGGGAUUACCCCAUGGAAGAGGACCCAAAAGAAAUCGUGGUACAGCAGCCAGGAAUCGUAAGGGUAAAAAAACACUGGUUAAUAGAAACAAGAACUCUGAAAAAAACCCAAAAAGUCAUUUACGACAAAAGAGCCCUUGAGGAGGCUUUUGAAACCUUGCCGUAUGGGUAUUAAUUACUAUGAAAAACCACAUUCAGUUUGUUCAUCCCUUUUCCUGUUUGUUUUGUGGUCCCUCAAAUUCUGGAAAAUCAUAUUUUAUAAAGCAAUUGUUAGAAAAUGGUAAUAAGCUGUUAUCAUGUAUGCCUGAAAAUACUGUGUGGUGUUCUAGCUGUUGGCAAGCAUUGUAUAAAGAGUUGGUGCAAAAAUUUUCAUGUAUUACAUUUUUGGAAGAUUUACCUAAUACUUUGAAUGAUGAACAUUUAUUUCCUAGUAAUAAAGUGAAUAUGGUUAUUAUAGAUGAUCUAAUGGAGUCUGCUUCUGAAAGUGGUGAAAUCGAGAAAGCCUUUACAAAAUACAUACACCACAAAAACCUAAGUACUAUGUACAUUGUGCAAAAUAUGUUUUGUCAGGGGAAAAAAAGCCAUACAAUUAAUUUAAAUACUAAGUAUAUGGUUUUUUUUAACCCCCCCCCGCAAUAAACUGCAAAUCACCACUUUGGCCCGGCAAACGUACCCUGUAAAACACAACUUUUUUUGGAGGCUUUUGAGGAUGCUACCAAAAACCCCUACAGGUAUCUGCUGGUGGAUUUAAAUGCUUCAACGCCCGAAGCCCUCAGGUUAAGAACAGGUCUUUUCCCCCCAGACUGGCCCUGUGUAUACACCUUUAAAACCCCCCAUAAAAAAUAGUUAUUUUUAUUAAUCUUCCAUUUUAAAAAAGAUCAUCCCCCUGACAAACAUGUCUAACUGCAUGCAGAGAAACCUGGCUCUUUUAAAAUUUCUCAUCAAAGCCAAGCCGCCGCAAAGGAAGGCUAUUCUCUGCUCGGCUUCUGAUGACCUAGUAGCGGCCAUCUCAGAAAUAGUGCUUAACACUUUAAAAGGAAACGUUCCUCUAAAACCCCGACAAAUAAGCAUCCU